CAGAGUUUUCAUAUGUGAGGUAAUCUUACUGGGAGUGAAGGCAGUGCGUAUGGCCGCUUGAUACGAGAGACACAUUCUAUUUUUAAAGGUCAACAUACUGUAAGCUUCAUUCCCUUUAAAGCAGAGUUUUCAUAUGUGAGGUAAUCUUACUGGGAGUGAAGGCAGUCCGUAUGACCACUUGAUAUGAAAGACACAUCCUGUUUUUAAAGGUGGAUCAUGAGUGAAGCUCUGCAGGUCUGCCAUUGGCUUGAUAACAGUGGUUUAUGUGAAUUGAGUGAAUUCAAUUUAUAAAUAAAUCUUUCACCAAGCAUUCACAUGUUUACGGACAAAACAGAUC